rnacentral:lncRNA from 13 species
AUGCCUUGUGACUUUGAGUUUUCCCUGAAUGCCAAGCUUGUAACAGAUUUGGUCUACCUCCUCUGCUCAAGUGGCUCUUUCAGUUCGUUUUCUUUUCUGCCUGCCGUGGAACUGUUAGUUAACAUUAGGAGACAUCGAUACAAUUUGUUCAGUUUAAGGGCAGAACUUAGGAAACCUUGGCUACUGAGGCUGAUGUGGAAGGAGGAGGGGGUACACCGGCUGGGUACCCACUAUAGUGCCCAGAAUUUCACCAGGGAGGUCAUACCAUUGCACCAGGCUGGAGUGCAGUGGCAUGAUCUCGGCUCACUGCAACAUCUGCCUCCCAGGUUCAAGCUAUUCUCGUGCCUCAGCCUCCUGAGUAGCUGGGAUUACAGGUGUGUGCCACCUUACUUGGACUUUUGGUAGAGACGGGGUUUCACCAUGUUACCCAGGCUGGUCUCGAACUCCUGUCCUCAGCUGAUCCACCCACUUUGGUCUCCCAAAGUGCUAGGAUUACAGGUGUGAGCCAGUGCACCCGGCCUGGUCAUAUCUUUAGCUGUCACAAAGUUUAAAGUCAUUGUAAUUGUACCAAACAACAAAUUUACGAUUAAGACAUUAUAAUGGGUAAAUAUAAUAGGUCAAAUCUAAAGCAAUGCAAUUUAACAGGGAUAAAUGUUAAAUCCUAAACAUAGGCUUCCACAAUCAUUGUAAUACGAAAAGAUAUGAGCAUGGAAGGAAGGAAAGAGAGAGAAAAGAAGGGAGGAAGGGGAAUAGAAAGCAAGCCAGCUUUACACUUCAGUGGAUAAGAACCUCAAAAUGUGGCCAGUUAUAUGCUACAGCUGCUGAAUGAAAUGCAUAGAUAAUUAAUGAACAAAGUAAGGGAGAGGAGUCAGACUUCAACUGGAGUAUGUCUCAAAUUCUGGAUACCCCAUGUUAACAGAACAGUGACAAUCUGUAGAGAACGCAUAGGGAAGUAACUAGGGUGAUGAGUAGAUCUGUGACACAUGAUGAUACAUAGAAAAUAAAUCAUAUCUAC